rnacentral:ncRNA from 1 species
UAUAAGACGUUGAGAGGAAGAAGUAACUUAAUUGUACUUGCAAGAGAGUAAUCGGUUGGUGUGAGAUUAUGAAGUAGAUUUUGUGAAAUACAUCCUGGAGUUACAACCUGAAAAGAAAUGAGUAGGGAAUGUCGGGAGCACCCGUUAUAGCGCAAGAGUGUGUUUGCACUCGUAGAGGAAGAUUUCGUGAGAAAUUUUUAUUUAGAGGUGGUACCGCAGUUAAUGCCCUCUGU